UACGGAGGGUGCAAGCGUUAUCCGGAUUCACUGGGUUUAAAGGGUGCGUAGGUGGGUUGGUAAGUCCGUGGUGAAAUCUCCGAGCUUAACCUGGGAAUGGCAUUGGUGACUGCACGGCUAGAGUGUGUCAGAGGGGGGUAGAAUUCCACGUGUAGCAGUGAAAUGCGUGGAGAUGUGGAGGAACACCGAUGGCGAAGGCAGCCCCCUGGGUCAAGAUUGACGCUCAUGCACGAAAGCGUGGGGAGCAAACAGG
rnacentral:rRNA from 1 species